UCUCAAGGAUGAGCAAAGAAAGUGGAUUCUUGAUAUGGCAUCUACUCCUGGUGAAGAUGCUAUGGA
rnacentral:pre_miRNA from 1 species